rnacentral:tRNA from 3 species
GCCGGUAUAGCUCAGUUGGUAGAGCAACUGAUUUGUAAUCAGUAGGUCGCGGGUUCGACUCCUGCUGCCGGCA